GGCCGCGGGAAUUCGAUUCAGGCCUAACACAUGCAAGUCGAGCGGCGGCGCGGGGGCAACCCUGGCGGCGAGCGGCGGACGGGUGAGGAAUGCGUCGGAAUCUGCCCAGUCGUGGGGGAUAACGUAGGGAAACUUACGCUAAUACCGCAUGCGCCCUAAGGGGGAAAGCGGGGGACCGAGAGGCCUCGCGCGAUUGGAUGAGCCGACGCCGGAUUAGCUAGUUGGUGGGGUAAAGGCCCACCAAGGCGACGAUCCGUAGCUGGUCUGAGAGGAUGAUCAGCCACACUGGGACUGAGACACGGCCCAGACUCCUACGGGAGGCAGCAGUGGGGAAUAUUGGACAAUGGGCGCAAGCCUGAUCCAGAAAUGCCGCGUGUGUGAAGAAGGCCUUCGGGUUGUAAAUCUAAGGGUCCGGGAAGAAAACCCUGGGGCUAAUACCCACGGGGAAUGACGGACCGAAGA
rnacentral:rRNA from 1 species